rnacentral:rRNA from 1 species
CAGAGGUCUCAAGCGUUGUUCGGAAUUACUGGGCGUAAAGGGUGCGCAGGCCGCGCGGGCAGUCAAAUGUGUAAUUCAGGGGCUCAACCCCUGCACUGCGCUUGAUACUUCCGCGCUCGAGCUUUGGAGAGGAGUCUGGAAUUCUCGGUGUAGCAGUGAAAUGCGUGGAUAUCGAGAAGAACACUUAGGGCGUAGGCAAGACUCUGGACAAAUGCUGACGCUCAUGCACGAAGGCUAGGGUAGCGAACGGGAUUAGAUACCCCGGUAGUCCUAGCUGUAAACGGUGCACGUUUGGUGUGGGGAGCAACCCUCCCUGUGCCGGAGCUAACGCGUUAAACGUGCCGCCUGGAUAGUACGGUCGCAAGACUA